rnacentral:lncRNA from 1 species
AUAUAUAUGAAAUUAUAUUAAAUAUAGAAAUUGAUUAUUAAAAUCAGAUUUUAAAAUAUUUUGGUUUUUAAAAUCUACGGUAGAAUAAAAUAAUCUUGCUAAAAAUAAUUUUUAUAAAAACUUGCUAAAUAUUAAAAUUAAUUUUUAAUUUUUUAAAAUCAAUUACGAGCCCCCUAAGAUCAACGCCUCUUAGGCGGAAUUAAAGAGACUUUGCAUUCGCUGCAAGUUUGAAAACAAUUGGAACCCGCUCGACUUGCAAUUAAGCAACACACGAGUUAUGAAUAAAUCCAAAAUGAACAAAUGGUUGGUGCCGCACAGCCCGCGCUCAAGUUUCUCCAUUGCUUCAAUUAUGGCGUUCGCGGUGGCCAUUUGUCUCCUUAUUUCUCUUCACAUCGCUCAAAUCAAAUCGAUGAGACCUCCCUUGUGUACAAAUCUGUCCCAUCGAAGCAACCACGGUUUCUCCCACAGCAAAAAAGAAAGUGAAAAAACAAUAGUUCAAAAAGUGAUUUCAAUGCCACUGGUCGGAGUGGUGGGCUGCUGCCCUUACAAUGCUUGUGAGGGCAGCAGUUCAAGCCCCUACAAAAGUACUUGUGGGGGCUAACGUACUUAUUUAUUUAAUAUUUUAAAAAUUUCCUCUCCCUCGUGCAAUACGAGUGGAGUAUGGACAUCCCUCUUCUGUAAGAGAUUAUUUAUCUGGACAUGUACUUCACAGAAUUCAAUGUAAUAAUAUAAGUCUCAAUCAUGUAUUUCUGAUUGUAAAUAUCAGUGUAAUAUAUCUGCUAUAAUAGCAGUUGUAAAUAUCUGUGUAAUGCAGUAAUAUGAUGAUUAAUCAGUAUUCAAAAAAAAAAAAAAGUGAUUUCAAUAAUUUGGUAAAUGGGCAUCGAAAAAGUAACAUAAAUGAUAGAAUCGACACACAAAUUAUGUGUGACACUUUUAAUUUCACCAUCUUUAUAUCUUAUCAUUCUUAUGGUAGUGUGGACGAUAGUAUAUGAUCUGUUGUUUGUUUUAAAAUACCAACAACGAGUACAAUCAGUGGGAAUCCGAUAAUGAAAUAGGAAGACACGUCGGUGGAAAUU